CCUACGGGUGGCAGCAGUGAGGAAUAUUGGUCAAUGGACGCAAGUCUGAACCAGCCAUGCCGCGUGCAGGAAGACGGCUCUAUGAGUUGUAAACUGUUUUUGUACGAGGGUAAACGCCGAUACGCGUAUCUGUCUGAACGUAUCGUACGAAUAAGGAUCGGCUAACUCCGUGCCAGCAGCCGCGGUAAUCCGGAGGAUUCAAGCGUUAUCCGGAUUUAUUGGGUUUAAAGGGUGCGUAGGCGGUCGGGUAAGUUAGAGGUGAAAUCCCGGGGCUCAACUUCGGAAUUGCCUCUGAUACUGUUGGGCUAGAGAGUAGAUGCGGCAAGCGGAAUGUAUGGUGUAGCGGUGAAAUGCGU
rnacentral:rRNA from 1 species